CUGAGAAUGGGCCGCGCGGACGCCGCCCCUCCCCCCGACCCCGGCCGAUAGACGCGCAUCCUCCAGGUCCCCGUCAGCCUUUCGGGGAAAGCAGAAAUCAGAUGCUGUGCGAAGGACCCUUUGCAAAAGCUUCAGCCUGCUGGCCGAGCCGGACGCCCCGGGUGGAGGCCCCUGCGGGAUCGGCCGGCGCAGCCCUUGCUUCGUCGCCAAUCCGGCUAGCCACCCAGGUCCGGGGUGCGAUGCGGGGUGCAGAGAGCCUCUUUCGCUUCGCCGACGCCCUAGGACCACGCCAGAAGGAGGAACGCAGCGGGGCGCCCCGCAGAUGCAGACAGAACCCCGACGUGGGCAUUUUUGCAGAACUAUCCCAAAGCCAAGCGGCGUUGACUACUACUACUCGCCCCUCAGGCUCUCUAAGAAGAGGGAGGGAGCGUAAAAGACACUCACCCCUCAGUCCUAGUUAUUGGAACAUGUUCCCAACACCCUGGCUGUCCCAGUGGCUGGAAGCUUAUUGCAGGAAGAUUUGCUACUUAGGAUUCCUCGUGUCCUCAGUCCAAUGACAUGAAGAAUACUGGCAUGAGAGGAAAUGAGAGCGGCAGCAGGGAUAAAGUUAACUGGAAUCGAUGUAAUAAAGCAGAGAAAUGAGACGUGAACAGAAUAAAACCAAACGUAAAAUAAUGCAUUGAAAAGAAUAAAAAGAGAAUGAAGAGGAAUGCUUAGAUUAAUAUACACACAGCUUGUUAUCAAUGCCGAUGAAAGAUCUUCAGAGAGAAUUAUUUGACCCUCAAGCUAUUGUUUCAGUGAUUAUUAAAUGCUUUGCUGUAGUUCAAAACAUUUUUAGACACAUGUAUUUUCCCUAAUCCUACAAACAUUUUUUUUUAAUAAAGUAUUCUGUGUUUGUAGAGUGCUUUAUUUUUCAGAGCACUUUUUUGGGGGCAUAUUAUUUCAUUUAUUCUCACAUAGAGUUAGAUAGGGCAUGUUAUCUUUUCUCAGAAAAAAUGAAUAGGUAGGAUUGGGGAAGAUAAGGAAAAGCUGUUUUCUGAGUGUUAGACAUGGUUCUACAUCCUUUACGUAUGUUGUUUUAUUUAUCCUGAUGUAUGGAUAUGACCAGCUCCUUUUUACAGAUCAAUGAGCUGAAAUCCAGG
ensembl:lncRNA